AAGAAACCAACAGGGAUUGCCCUAGUAACGGCGAGUGAAGCGGCAACAGCUCAAAUUUGAAAUCUGGCUCUCGGGCCCGAGUUGUAAUUUGUAGAGGAUACUUUUGAUGCGGUGCCUUCCGAGUUCCCUGGAACGGGACGCCAUAGAGGGUGAGAGCCCCGUCUGGUUGGAUGCCAAAUCUCUGUAAAGUUCCUUCAACGAGUCGAGUAGUUUGGGAAUGCUGCUCUAAAUGGGAGGUAUAUGUCUUCUAAAGCUAAAUACCGGCCAGAGACCGAUAGCGCACAAGUAGAGUGAUCGAAAGAUGAAAAGCACUUUGAAAAGAGAGUUAAAAAGUACGUGAAAUUGUUGAAAGGGAAGCGUUUAUGACCAGACUUGGGCUUGGUUAAUCAUCUGGGGUUCUCCCCAGUGCACUUUUCCAGUCCAGGCCAGCAUCAGUUUUCCCCGGGGGAUAAAGGCGGCGGGAAUGUGGCUCUCUUCGGGGAGUGUUAUAGCCCACCGUGUAAUACCCUGGGGGGGACUGAGGUUCGCGCAUCUGCAAGGAUGCUGGCGUAAUGGUCAUCA
rnacentral:rRNA from 1 species